GCUGGGCGUGGUGGCGUGUGCCUGUAAUCUCAGCUACUCAGGAGGCUGAGGCAGGAGAAUCGCUUGAACCCAGGAGGCGGAGGUUGCAGUGAGCCAAAAUAGCGCCACUGCACUCCAGUCUGGGUGACAGAGCGAGACUCUGUCUCAA
rfam:Pan troglodytes isolate Yerkes chimp pedigree #C0471 (Clint) chromosome X, whole genome shotgun sequence.